rnacentral:rRNA from 1 species
AUGCACGCGGAGAGACUAAGGGAAAAAGAGGAGAGGCCCCGGGCGCCGCCGGGUCCGAACCAAGAAGACGAGUCUGAACAGGAUUACAACAAGUACCGGCAGAUCUGGGACAUGAAGUGGUCCAAACAGUACGGCUCUUUCGAGGACACCACGUCGAUCCCCGCCAUGUGUUUCACGGACAAUCCUAUGCCUCGUUUCACUGUCCACCAGACCACCAUGCAGAUCUUCUCAGUCAAGGUCACGGAAAUAACUGGCGGUUUACAGUGGCCCCUCGAUGUAUUUGGCAUGAUCGCCAUGCGCGACGACCUGGAUCAUAAUCGCAAUAUUAUCUUUAACCGCUCAAGGGACAACUGCCAAACCCUCACCCAACAGGGUCAGCAUUUGGUUCUUACAGGUCCUGCUCGUGCUGUUGUGCAUGAGGGGCAUCCGUCUGUGUACUUUGAGGCCAUUCUAAAAGUUAAGGGCGCUACCUGUUCAGAGGACAGAGAUCUAAGCCUCCUGAUCAGCCGCUGCAAUACCCGUCAAUCGGCAUCCAAAUCGCUUGUGGGCACCAGAUGCUACAGAAGUAAGCUCAGCACACUGGAGCUGGCAUAUGGCAUCAUCGUCGCUUGCGCCGAGGCCACCAUCAGAGUCGAGCUGGUCGAGGGGUCAUGGCCAGAAGGGUUCCACGGCCAGUUGACUGCAUGUACUGCCAGUGUUCCCCACAUGAAAGUCUUGCUGCUCGAUUCAGGCGAGAAAGAGGCCGUCGUCGGCGACGGCGGCAAGAUGGAACUCUCGCGCCGUGUUGUCUCUGUUGAAAGGUCUGGGCAGCUCGUGGUUUGUGCUGUGUUGUCUCGUGGUGGUGAGAAGGUCGUGGAGGCUGAGACGUCCUUAGCACCAUUGGAGGCCGGUAGAAGCCAUGACAUGCUUGAUGUUGGCUCGUGUAAGCUGCGAGUCACGGUGGCCUGGUCGCCAAUUCUGAAAGGCUAUCCACUUCGUGGUUUUUCUCUACCUUCCAGCGAGGCUGUUGUUAGCUAG